rnacentral:lncRNA from 10 species
AAACAGUCUUGCAUAUAUACGCUACAUGAUAAUACUCUAUAAUCCUAUUAUACAAAUGGAUCUUUAUUUUAUAUGAAGUAUUGCAUUUUAGUCAACAUAUGUACCAACAUACCAAAUAUAUGUCUAUAACUCUUACGGAUGAUAAAAGUUAGGUAAAAAUCAGCUUCCAGCAAUGAACUUUACACAACAUGGCAGGAUUUUGUGAUCAGAAGCAAUGCUGCCUUUUACAAAACUCCCUUUAACUAAAACUCCCAUCUCUACCCCUCAUGUGAGCUGAGGCCUCAAUGUGCCUUUCUUCCUUUCUUUCUUUCUUUUUUUCUUUCUUCUUUCUUUUCUUUUUCUUUCUUUCUCUCUUUUCCUUUUUUCUUUCUUUUUCUUUAUCUUCCUCUUUCUUUCCUUCCUUCUUUCUCUUUCUUUCUUUCUCUCUCUCCCUUCCUUCCUUCCUUUCCCUUUCUUUCUUUUCUCUUCUUUCUUUCUCUUUCUUUCUUUCUUUCUUUCUCUUUCUUUCUUUCUCUCUCUCCUUCCUUCCUUCCUUUCCUUCCUUCCUUCUUUCUCUCUUUCUUUCUUCCUUUCUUAUUUAUUUAUUUUUUUUACCAGAGAGCAUAAGCAAGUUGCAUCAAUUUGUUUUCUGACACCAAACAAAAGAAAGAAUUGGAAGGCAGAUAUUACCCAAUAUGGGGCAUGAGAUAUUUUCUUUCCAUAAAGAAUAAGCACUCUUUUUCCUCCUUCAUAAUAUAUCCUAUUGCAAUUGUCAAUGACUUUUUGAUCCCUAACCUGAGAACUUUCCUGUCACAUGUCACAAAUAUCUGCCAUAGAUGGCAGAAGUAUGAAAAUAAUUGAGCCAAUUAAAAAAGAUAUUUCAGUUUUACUCUCUGGUGCAGGUAUUUGCAUGCUUUUUUCUUAUUUUCAGGAGUGGUGGUAAAUGCACCUUAGGUUGCAAUAUAAACACUACAUGAAUGUCACUGUCACCCAGAGUGUCUGCGUCCUUCUCCUUUCUUUUCUGUUAUUUCUAAUGUUGAUCAGAUGCCUGCCUAGCACUGUGGAGGUAGCUGACAAGAUAAACCCAAUUAACUCUCUAAGGUUAUUCUUUUUUUUUUUCCUUUUUUGAGACAGAGUCCCGCCUUGUCACCCAGGCUGGAAUGCAGUGAUGUAAUCUCAGCUCACUGCAACCUCUGCCUCCUGGGUUCAAGCAAUUCUCCUGCCUCAGCCUCCCAAGUAGCUGGGAAUACAGGUGCAUACCACCACACCUGGCUGAUUUUUGUAUUUUCAGUAGAGACGGGGUUUUGCCGUGUUGGCCAGGCUGGUCUCGAACUCCUGACCUCAGGUGAUUUGCCCACCUCGGCCUCCCAAAGUGCUGGGACUACCGGAGUGAGCCAGCGCUCCUGGCUUCUAAGGUUGUUCUUAAGGAGCACAUGGUGAGUUUUUACUUGUAAUCUUAAUCUGUCUUUGAUGAUUUUGGAUUUACUUACAAUUUUUCUAUGUAUGUAAACUCUUUUCAGGGCUUCUGAGUUUGAAAACCAAAGAAUAAAAAUCAAAGCUGGCUAUGAAUUAUCAGGGCAAAUAAUUUAUAGAUGAGAACUGUGGAAACAUAUUUCUAUAAAAAUGAAGUUUAAAAAAAUCAAUUUACAAGCUUUAAAAUGGAAAAGUAAGUUAGCAAUCACUCUGCCUUUGCCUGCCCUUCUCUGUGACUAUAGAGUUGCACAAUUUGGCCUGUUAAAGGGACAUUUCUUCUUAAAAAACCAAUUACUUCCCACCUCAAAAAAAAAAUUCCAAACUUUCCUAUAGAAAUGCACAAACAAUAACAAAUUUUUGGCUGCAAGAAAUAUUAGUAAAAAUAUUUCUUCUUUCAUGAAUUAAAAU